rnacentral:tRNA from 1 species
GCGAGAGUGGCGGAACUGGCAGACGCACUGGACUUAGAAUCCAGGGGUUACAAACCGUAGGGGUUCAACUCCCCUCUCUCGCA